AACGAACGCUGGCGGCAUGCCUAACACAUGCAAGUCGAACGAGAUCUUCGGGUCUAGUGGCGCACGGGUGCGUAACGCGUGGGAAUCUACCCUUUGGUUCGGAAUAACAGUUGGAAACGACUGAUAAUACCGGAUGAUGACGAAAGUCCAAAGAUUUAUCGCCAGAGGAUGGGCCCGCGUAGGAUUAGCUAGUUGGUGUGGUAAAGGCGCACCAAGGCGACGAUCCUUAGCUGGUCUGAGAGGAUGAUCAGCCACACUGGGACUGAGACACGGCCCAGACUCCUACGGGAGGCAGCAGUGGGGAAUAUUGGACAAUGGGCGAAAGCCUGAUCCAGCAAUGCCGCGUGAGUGAUGAAGGCCUUAGGGUUGUAAAGCUCUUUACCCGGGAUGAUAAUGACAGUACCGGGAGAAUAAGCUCCGGCUAACUCCGUGCCAGCAGCCGCGGUAA
rnacentral:rRNA from 1 species